rnacentral:rRNA from 1 species
GAUGAACGCUGGCGGCGUGCUUAACACAUGCAAGUCGAACGAAGCACUUUAUUUGAUUUCCUUCGGGACUGAUUAUUUUGUGACUGAGUGGCGGACGGGUGAGUAACGCGUGGGUAACCUGCCUUGUACAGGGGGAUAACAGUUGGAAACGGCUGCUAAUACCGCAUAAGCGCACAGCAUCGCAUGAUGCAGUGUGAAAAACUCCGGUGGUAUAAGAUGGACCCGCGUUGGAUUAGCUAGUUGGUGAGGUAACGGCCCACCAAGGCGACGAUCCAUAGCCGACCUGAGAGGGUGACCGGCCACAUUGGGACUGAGACACGGCCCAAACUCCUACGGGAGGCAGCAGUGGGGAAUAUUGCACAAUGGGCGAAAGCCUGAUGCAGCGACGCCGCGUGAGCGAAGAAGUAUUUCGGUAUGUAAAGUUCUAUCAGCAGGGAAGAUAAUGACGGUACCUGACUAAGAAGCACCGGCUAAAUACGUG